UUGUUAUUUGGCAAAAUUUACAUGUAUGCAUUGAGUCUUGAUUUCAGCUCGAUUGUGGACUGAAGAAGAUUGUCCGCAGAGGGAUUGGAUACAAAAUACAAAGUAAGUACUGAGUUUCUUACUAAAAGUUUUGAGUUGUAUUCAUUGUGUGUUAAUAUGCUAUGAUUGCUAUGAACAUGACUUUUGUAUUUCAGCGAAGACAACAUAGGUAAGUAAAAUUGUUAUCUGUUUCAUGUUUACUGUUACAGUUCAAUAUUGUUUAUAAAUUGUAAGUUGUACAAACACAUUCAAAAGUUUCUGAUCAUGCUUUCGAUUUCAUUUCAGCUUUACUGCUGGACGAGUGUUCUCUACUACUAGACGUGUCAGGUUUACUACCAGGCGAGCAGUGACAACAAGGCGCCUUUGUGGAAACAACACAACAAAAAACUGUACUGCUAGACGAGCAGUGACAGAAAGGCGCCUGAACAUGCAACACAAAACAAAAAUGCCAAUAUCCAAACCUUGAUGUGGAC